rnacentral:rRNA from 1 species
UACGUAGGGUGCAAGCGUUAAUCGGAAUUACUGGGCGUAAAGCGUGCGCAGGCGGUUGUGCAAGACCGAUGUGAAAUCCCCGGGCUUAACCUGGGAAUGGCAUUGGUGACUGUACGGCUAGAGUGUGUCAGAGGGGGGUAGAAUUCCACGUGGUAGCAGUGAAAUGCGUAGAGAUGAUGGAGGAAUACCGAUGGCGAAGGCAGCCCCCUGGGAUAACACUGACGCUCAUGCACGAAAGCGUAGGGAGCAAACAGG